AUUGAACGCUGGCGGCAGGCUUAACACAUGCAAGUCGAGCGAGCGGCGGACGGGUGAGUAAUGUCUGGGAAACUGCCUGAUGGAGGGGGAUAACUACUGGAAACGGUAGCUAAUACCGCAUACCAUCAGAUGGGCCCAGAUGGGAUGAGCUAGUAGGUGGGGUAAUGGCUCACCUAGGCGACGAUCCCUAGCUGGUCUGAGAGGAUGACCAGCCACACUGGAACUGAGACACGGUCAAGACUCAUACGGGAGGCAGCAGUGGGGAAUAGUGCAAAAUGGGCGAAAGCCUGAUGCAGCAAUGCGGCGUGUGUGAAGAAGGCCUUCGGGUUGUAAAGAACUUUAAGCGAGGAGGAGGGAAAAGAAGAAGAAGCACCGGCUAACUCCGUGCCAGCAGCCGCGGUAAGUG
rnacentral:rRNA from 1 species